CAGUAGCCGCGGUAAUACAGAGGGUGCGAGCGUUAAUCGGAUUUACUGGGCGUAAAGCGUGCGUAGGCGGCUUCUUAAGUCGGAUGUGAAAUCCCUGAGCUUAACUUAGGAAUUGCAUUCGAUACUGGGAAGCUAGAGUAUGGGAGAGGAUGGUAGAAUUCCAGGUGUAGCGGUGAAAUGCGUAGAGAUCUGGAGGAAUACCGAUGGCGAAGGCAGCCAUCUGGCAUAAUACUGACGCUGAGGUACGAAAGCAUGGGGAGCAAACAGGAUUAGAUACCCCUGUAGUCCCUGUCUCUUAUAC
rnacentral:rRNA from 1 species